ACAUCCAGAGAAUUUAGGCAGAGAUGCUUUAGUGCCUUCGGGAACUCUGAGACAGGUGCUGCAUGGCUGUCGUCAGCUCGUGUUGUGAAAUGUUGGGUUAAGUCCCGNAACGAGCGCAACCCUUAUCCUUUGUUGCCAGCACGUAAUGGUGGGAACUCAAAGGAGACUGCCGGUGAUAAACCGGAGGAAGGUGGGGAUGACGUCAAGUCAUCAUGGCCCUUACGAGUAGGGCUACACACGUGCUACAAUGGCGCAUACAAAGAGAAGCGACCUCGCGAGAGCAAGCGGACCUCAUAAAGUGCGUCGUAGUCCGGAUUGGAGUCUGCAACUCGACUCCAUGAAGUCGGAAUCGCUAGUAAUCGUAAAUCAGAAUGUUACGGUGAAUACGUUCCCGGGCCUUGUACACACCGCCCGUCACACCAUGGGAGUGGGUUGCAAAAGAAGUAGAUAGCUUAACCUUCGGGAGGGCGUUUACCACUUUGUGAUUCAUGACUGGGGUGAAGUCGUAACAAGGUAAGCGUAGUGCU
rnacentral:rRNA from 1 species